rnacentral:rRNA from 1 species
GACGAACGCUGGCGGCGUGCUUAACACAUGCCCGUCGAACGGUAAGGCCCCAGCUUGCUGGUGUCCACGAGUGGCGAACGGGUGUGUAACACGUGGGUGACCUGCCCCGCACUUCGGGAUAAGCCUGGGAAACUGGGUCUAAUACCGGAUAGGACCGCACCGUUAGCGUGUGGUGGCAAGUUGUGCGGGGUGGUCUGGGCCCGCGGCCUAUCAGCGUGUUGGUGGGGUAAUCGCCUACCAAGGCGGCGUCCUUUAGCCGGCCUGAGAGGGUGAACGGCCACAUUAGGACUAAGAAGCACACCAAGCUCCUACGGGAGACAGCAGUGAGGAAGCUAGCACAGUGGGCGGAGGGCUGAUGAAGAGACCCCGCGUGCGUGAUGACGGACAUCGGGUUGAAAACAACUUUCACCAGAGACGAAGGUCAGGUGACGGUCCCUGGCGAAGAAGCACCGGCUAACUACGAG